rnacentral:rRNA from 1 species
GAUGAACGCUGGCGGCGUGCCUAAUACAUGCAAGUCGAGCGAACAGACGAGGAGCUUGCUCCUCUGACGUUAGCGGCGGACGUGUGAGUAACACGUGGAUAACCUACCUAUAAGACUGGGAUAACUUCGGGAAACCGGAGCUAAUACCGGAUAAUAUAUUGAACCGCAUGGUUCAAUAGUUAAAUACGGUUUUGCUGUCACUUAUAGAUGGAUCCUCGCCGCAUUAGCUAGUUGGUAAGGUAACGGCUUACCAAGGCAACGAUGCGUAGCCGACAUGAGAGAGAGAUAGGACAAACUGGAAGAGAGACACGGAAAAGACACCUACGGGAGGAAGCAGAAGGGAAUCUUCAGCAAUGGGCGAAAGCUUGAAAGAGCAACGCCGCGUGAGUGAUGAAGGUCUGCGGAUAGUAAAACUCUGUUAUUAGGGAAGAAAAAAUGUGUAAGAAAAUAUGCACGUCUUGACGGUACCUAAUCAGAAAGCCACGGCUAACUACGUG